GAUGAACGCUGGCGGCGUGCUUAACACAUGCAAGUCGAACGGAAAGGCUCCUGCUUGCAGGGGUACUCGAGUGGCGAACGGGUGAGUAACACGUGGGUGAUCUGCCCUGUACUUCGGGAUAAGCUUGGGAAACUGGGUCUAAUACCGGAUAGGACAACUUUUUGGAUAUUGUUGUGGAAAGCUUUUGCGGUAUGGGAUGAGCUCGCGGCCUAUCAGCUUGUUGGUGGGGUAAUGGCCUACCAAGGCGUCGACGGGUAGCCGGCCUGAGAGGGUGUACGGCCACAUUGGGACUGAGAUACGGCCCAGACUCCUACGGGAGGCAGCGGUGGGGAAUAUUGCACAAUGGGCGCAAGCCUGAUGCAGCGACGCCGCGUGGGGGAUGAAGGCCUUCGGGUUGUAAACUCCUUUCGCUAGGGACGAAGCGUUUUUGUGACGGUACCUGGAGAAGAAGCACCGGCUAACUACGUG
rnacentral:rRNA from 1 species